rnacentral:lncRNA from 1 species
UUUGAGUGGACAAUCUGUAGAGGUCAGACGAGCUGUGCGACUGUUCAAUAUCAAAAAGAACCUCAUACCAUAUCUAUCAGUAGUAGAGAUUAUUGAUCCAUGCAAAGGUAAUGAGUUUUGAACUCAUCUAAUUAGAUCUAACAGUUAGAUUUGAUCUAGGACAUCGAUAUGAUCGAUACAGUUUUUUUUUAUAUUAGAUAAUUUUUGUAUGAAAAUUUUAUAUCAUUGAUCCUUAGUAGGUAGUUUAGAUCUGAUCUA